rnacentral:lncRNA from 1 species
UUAAAGUAUAAUAAAAAAAGUGUAUAUAUAUAUAUAUAUAUAUAUAUAUAGAGAGAGAGAGAGAGAGAGAGAGAGAGAGAGAGAGAGAGAGAGAGAGAGAGAGAACAGAUAGAAGUACAUCAAGGGGGAUACAAGGGCUGAGCUGGGACACAAGCGCUGAGCUGCGCUGCUGACAGUGGUUCUGAAGCCAUCCCUCAUGGAUCAUGUGCUGAGUCAUGAUGCCCUGCACACACUGAUUUAAGCGGCCUCCUAUAAUUUUGUCCAGUGGAUGAAUAAGGUCUUGACUUACUCAGUGAGAGUAGUGUUGGAGGGGAGGGGCUCAUGGGGAAAUUGGGGUGUUCACUAUUACAAAAUCAAUAGGCUGGAAAGCAACAGUAUUUUGCAUCCAAAUCAAUGUACCAUGUGAAGCAAGGCCAGGAAAAGGAGGGCAAGGGUGGAGGGCAGGAAUGGGCACGUAGGAGUGAACUUUGUGCAUGCACAUCUGUGGGAAUAUAAUUCCACUGGGAUAGACCAAGUUUUGAGCUUGGAGGAAAAUGGAACUAAUUUAGCAAAUGGUAAAAUACUGACCCAAGGUUAACUAUGCAAAUUACAAUAUGGGCAAGGGACAAGAAUGAACAAGAUCCAAAAAAUCAGCAGUAUGGUGGCCUGAGGUGAAAGCAGUUUUACAUCUCUUAGGUAAAAUGGCCUCUGAUUUCUAGUUUCAAGCAUAUACUCAAAAAUAUGCCUUGUGUAGAUUCCAGAAUUUCAUACACACAAAAAAAAUGAGUAAAGUCUACGAGGAGUACAGCAAUGUAGAGACCAUGGAUGUGAAGAAGGAUCCCUUGGCUGAGUAUGAAGAGAUGUGUCUGUGAAAACAGAGGCAGGCCAAGCACAGUGGCUCAUGCCUGUAAUAAUAAUAAUAUUAAUAAUUAUGACGUUUUUUAAUUUUUUUUUUUUUGAGAAGGAGUGUCACUCUAUCACCCAGGCAGGAGUGCAGUGGCACAAUCUUGGCUCACUGCAACUUCUUCCACCCAGGUUCAAGCAAUUCUCUUACCUCAGCCUCCCGAGUAGCUGGCAUUACAGUCACCUGCCACCAGGCCUGGCUAAUUUUUAGUUGAGAUGGCAUUUCACCAUUUUGCCCAGGCUGAUCUCAAACUCCUGACCUUGUGAUUCACCCACCUGGGCCUCCCAAAGUGCUGGGAUUACAGGCGUGAGCCACCUCACCCGGCCAAUCCUUACUAAUAACUCAUCAUUGUGAUAGUUAACAAAAAUGAAAAAUACUUACAAUCAUAACAACUAUAAAAAAUAUACCUUAUUGCAAAUCAAGUGUUUUCUACAUAAACCAUGGGCUUAUCCAUCCAUGUAUUCAUGCACACACAUCACAUCAUGCCGUUACAAGCGUGGUGGCGUGCAUCUCUAAUCCCAGCUACUCGAGAGGCUCAGGCAACAGAAUCACUGUAAUCUGGAAGGUGGAAGCUACAGUGAGCCAAAAUCUCACCACUGCACUCCAUCCUGGGUGAUAGAGGGAGACUCAACUCAAAAAAAGAAAAAAAUAAUAAAAUCAAUGAUGUGAUAAAGCACCCUGUACCACUGACGUGUAUCUUCACUUUCCAUUCCAUUCCUGAAGGGGUGGCCUGCCCCUCCACACCUGUGGGCAUUUCUCGUCAGGUGGAACGGAGAGAUUUGAGAAAAGAAAGAGACAUAGAGACAAAGUACAGAGAAAGAAAAGUAGGCCUACAGGACCAGCACUCAGCAUACAGAGGACCCGCGCCUGCACCGGCCUCUGAGUUCCCUCAGUAUUUAUUGAUCAUUAUCUCUACCAUCUCGGAGAGGGGGAUGUGGCAGGACAAUAAGGUAAUAGUGGAGAGAGGGUCAGCAGGAAAACCUGAACAAAUGUCUCUGUCAUAAACAAGGUAAAGGAAAAAGUGCUGUGCUUUUGAUGUGCAUAUACAUAAACAUCUCAAUGCCUUAAAGAGCAGUACUGCCUCCAGCAUGUCUCACCUCCAGCUCUAAGGCAGUUUUCUCCUAUCUCAGUAGAUGGAAUAUACAAUUGGGCUUUACACCGAGACAUUCCAUUGUCCAGGGACCAGCAGGAGACAGAUGCCUUCCUCUUACCUCAACAGAGGCGGGGCACGGUGGCUCAUGCCUGUAAUCCCAGCACCUUGGGAGGCCAGGUCUGGCGGAUCACGAGGUCAGGAGUUUGAGACCAGCCUGACAAACAUGGUGAAACCCUGUCUCUACUAAAAAUAUAAAAAUUAGCCAGGUGUGCUGGUAGGUGCCUGUAAUUUCAGCUACUCAGGAGACUGAGUAUGGAUUCUCUGAUGUCCAACGAGGUGUGAAUGUGAAGUAAAGGCUUUGCCACAAUCAUCACACUUGUGAGGUUUCUCUCCUGUAUGAAUUCUCCUGUUUUGCAUAGGAUGAAGCUUGACUGAAGACCUUGCCUCAAUCAUGACAUUUGUAAGGUUUCUCUCCAGUAUGAGGUUGCCAAUGAACUGCAAUGUAUGAACAAUGUCUGAAAAACAUGCCACAUUUAUUACACUCAGAAGAUUUCUCUUCAUCAUGGAUUCUCCAAUGAUUUGCAAUUGUUGUAGUGUUACUGAAGACUUUGUGACAAUCAUUAUAUUAAUCAAAUUUCCCUAUACCAUGAAUUGCCUGAUGGUGAAUAAGUGUUGACCGGUCACUAAAGGCUUUGCCACACUCAUUACACUUGUAAGGUUUCUCUCCAGUAUGAAUUAUCCUAUGUCUUUUAAGGUGUGAUUUGCGACUGAAAACUUUGUCACAUGCUUCACAUUUGUAAGGUUUCUCUCCAGUAUGAAUUCUAUGAUGACGUGAAAGGUGUGAUUGUUCAUUAAAAGCCUUUCCACAUUCAUUACACUUGUAAGGUUUCUCUGCAGUGUGAAUUCUAAUAUGUCUUGCCAGGUAUGAAUUACGCACGAAAGCCUUGUCACAAACCGUACAUUUGUAAGAUUUCUCUCCAGUAUGAAGUCUACGAUGGUAUACAAGGGAUGACCAGUGACGGAAGGUAUUGCCACAGUCGUUACACUUGUAAGGUUUCUCACCACUAUGAAGUCUACGAUGGCAUAGAAGGGUUGCCUUCUGACUGAACGUCUUGCUGCACUCACUACACUU